UCGCUUUGGCAGCACAUAUACUAAAAUUGGAACGAUACAGAGAAGAUUAGCAUGGCCCCUGCUCAAGGAUGACACACAAAUUAAAAACAAAUAAACAAAAAAA